UACGAAGGGGGCUAGCGUUGCUCGGAAUCACUGGGCGUAAAGGGCGCGUAGGCGGCGGGGUAAGUCUGGUGUGAAAUCUCGGAGCUCAACUCCGAAAUUGCACUGGAUACUGCUCUGCUUGAGGGUUGGAGAGGAGAUCGGAAUUCACGGUGUAGCAGUGAAAUGCGUAGAUAUCGUGAGGAAGACCAGUGGCGAAGGCGGAUCUCUGGACAAAUCCUGACGCUGAGGCGCGAAGGCGUGGGUAGCAAACGGG
rnacentral:rRNA from 1 species